rnacentral:rRNA from 1 species
UCCUGACUGACCGAUAGUGAACCAGUACCGUGAGGGAAAGGCGAAAAGAACCCCGGCGAGGGGAGUGAAAAAGAACCUGAAACCGUGUACGUACAAGCAGUGGGAGCACGCUUAGGCGUGUGACUGCGUACCUUUUGUAUAAUGGGUCAGCGACUUAUAUUCUGUAGCAAGGUUAACCGAAUAGGGGAGCCGAAGGGAAACCGAGUCUUAACUGGGCGUUAAGUUGCAGGGUAUAGACCCGAAACCCGGUGAUCUAGCCAUGGGCAGGUUGAAGGUUGGGUAACACUAACUGGAGGACCGAACCGACUAAUGUUGAAAAAUUAGCGGAUGACUUGUGGCUGGGGGUGAAAGGCCAAUCAAACCGGGAGAUAGCUGGUUCUCCCCGAAAGCUAUUUAGGUAGCGCCUCGUGAAUUCAUCUCCGGGGGUAGAGCACUGUUUCGGCAAGGGGGUCAUCCCGACUUACCAACCCGAUGCAAACUGCGAAUACCGGAGAAUGUUAUCACGGGAGACACACGGCGGGUGCUAACGUCCGUCGUGAAGAGGGAAACAACCCAGACCGCCAGCUAAGGUCCCAAAGUCAUGGUUAAGUGGGAAACGAUGUGGGAAGGCCCAGACAGCCAGGAUGUUGGCUUAGAAGCAGCCAUCAUUUAAAGAAAGCGUAAUAGCUCACUGGUCGAGUCGGCC